rnacentral:lncRNA from 1 species
GUGUCACUGGUGGAUUGUGAGACUCAUCGAGCGUCAUCUUGAUGAUCAAUGGCCCUCGAAGGGUAGAAUUAAAAAUAUUCCAAUCCAUCGAAAAGAGUUUCGAUGAUAUUGUGAUAGAGAUCAUAAUAUAUCUCACUACCAGAUAGAAUGAAACUUAUAGGAUCACACAUUAAGGGAUUUAAUCUCGAAUUUGUCAAUUGAACUUAUGAAGUUCCAAUUG